rnacentral:lncRNA from 1 species
CUUGGAGCCCCUCACCACUUGAGCUAGAACCAAACUCCUUCAUGGACCUGACUCUUAACUCCCCUCAAGAGGUUUCUGUUCGUGCUCUGAAUGCCUUCGGGAGCUCCCUGUAUGCCCUCAGAGACACAAAGUCUUCAAAGAAAGUGAAUGAAUCUGAGGUGGAAUGAAAAUGAAAGAAUAAACCAACAUUCAUUAAGCCCGAGAGGGGAGACACUGCGCUGGGUGAUGAAGGGGUGCAGGGCGUGAAAACAGGCUUGCUCCGCCCUCAGGAAAGCUCAGUCUGAGAAACAAGAAGAGUGAGCAAAGGAAGGGGGUCAGUGAAUGAACGCAGAUGAGAGAGAGCAAGCAGGCAAGUGCGUGGGUGCCUGGACAGAGCACCAACACCCAGGCUCUGGGGGCCCCCAGCGCUGCUCCUGGUCAGAGGCGUUUUCUCACCCAUCUGUACCCCAGCUCACUCUUCCUCUCCAGGCUCUCUCAGGACCGGCUCUCCCCAAGGCUAUUUUUAAACCAAUCAUGACUCACUUUUUGAAAGGCGUUAAAAAAAAAAAGGCUUUUUUCCCCAGCAAUCAAAUGUUCCUGUCCUCUGGGUGACACGUAUCUAGGCAGUCUUCCGUCAAGUGCCUCCUCCAAUGACCUGAUGAGGGGUCUUCUGCUCCUGUCUCCUGGUUCAUCAGCUUCUUUUCAUGCACUUUACCCUUUGCCCUGCUCACCCUGAGCCCCACUGAGAGCUCACACUUCAGACAAAAAACUAAACAUAAAUGGAG